UUCCACGUGUAGCGGUGAAAUGCGUAGAGAUGUGGAGGAACACCAGUGGCGAGGCGACUCUCUGGUCUGUAACUGACGCUGAGGAGCGAAGCGUGGGGAGCGAACAGGAUUAGAUACCCUGGUAGUCCACGCCGUAAACGAUGAGUGCUAAGUGUUAAGGGGGUUUCCGCCCCUUAGUGCUGCAGCUAACGCAU
rnacentral:rRNA from 1 species